rnacentral:rRNA from 1 species
CCGUGACCCAGCGACGCCGCGUGAGGGAUGAAGGCCUUCGGGUCGUAAACCUCUGUCGGGAGGGAAGAAUGGCGGUGAAGCGAAUAGUUUCGCUGUCUGACGGUACCUCCAAAGGAAGCGCCGGCUAACUCCGUGCCAGCAGCCGCGGUAAUACGGAGGGCGCAAGCGUUGUUCGGAAUCACUGGGCGUAAAGCGCGUGUAGGCGGCCGGGCAAGUCGGAUGUGAAAUCCCGAGGCUCAACCUCGGAACUGCAUUCGAAACUGCUCGGCUCGAGUCCCGGAGAGGAUGGCAGAAUUCCCGGUGUAGGGGUGAAAUCCGUAGAUAUCGGGAGGAAUACCAGUGGCGAAGGCGGCCAUCUGGACGGUGACUGACGCUGGGACGCGAAAGCGUGGGGAGCAAACAGGAUUAGAUACCCUGGUAGUCCACGCCGUAAACGGUGAGUGCUAGACGUCGCGGGUAUUGACCCCCGCGGUGUCGAAGCUAACGCGUUAAGCACUCCGCCUGGGGAGUACGGCCGCAAGGCUA